ACUUGAAUAGUUUAUAUAAAAUGUAGAGUUGUGGAUUCUAAGAAGUAAAAUUUACUUCAAGUU
rnacentral:tRNA from 1 species